rnacentral:rRNA from 1 species
CGGGCCACCCGGCCUGCGGCGGAAUGUUGCGUUAAGGGAAAGGUCGUAGUCAAACCCCACAGCCACGCGAACUCUAAGUCGGCCACGAAUAGGCCAUCCCAACUAACGGCGGGAAAGACUCCACGGAGGGUGUAAGACCCGUGUGGGCGCGUGUCAAAGCUGUGCGGGCUCGGCCUCUUUUUUCCCUGAGAGUCGCGUUGCUUGAGCAUGCAGCGCUAAGCAGGUCGUAAACUCGAUCUAAGGCUAAAUAUAUCCACAGAACCGAUAGCGAACAAGUACCGUGAGGGAAAGUUGAAAAGCACUCUGGAGAGAGAGUCAAAAGACCGUGAAACCGCUCAGAGUAUAAGCCCAUGGCAGCUUGGAAGGCAUGUCGCUAGCGGGGCAUCCGGUCCUCACGGAUCGGGUGUCACCUUGUCUCUGUUGUGGCUCGCCACGGUAGGGGGGUCAAGUCCACAUCCCGCCGUCGUGUGGGAGGUUCUCAGGCGCGUUGGUCUGGCGGCUGGUCUUCGGACCUUCCGUCUGGGCUCUUCGCGCUCGGUUCCUCUUCAACACGGUCGUUCAGACUCAGAGACAAGAUGCGACAAACAGCCCACCACGGCACGUUGUGAGGUCACCCGCAGGCUCGACUUUCGAUCGUGGUCCUUGACGCCGAGCAAGCGCAAUGCGUGUCGCAGAUCUUCCUAACCGGGCGGUAGCAGCACUGCCGCCAGGACAGUGGAAGGACACGCGCUCAACAGUCAGGAUCGGGCGGAGACUGAGUUCUGGUAUGAUCCUCUCGCGACGAGCCGCUUUCUGGCCAAGUUUCUGAAGUCCAGGGCUCCCGCAUGUGCCGCGGGAGCUCGCCUUGACGGUCUGGAUCUUGCAAAUAGAAGUCCUCUCAGUCGGGCUCAGAACGAGUGGUGUAAAGUCCAAGCCCAUGGGUCACGUCUCGAAACACGGGCCAAGGAGUAUAGCAUGUGUGCAAGUCUAAGAGUCUCACAAAACUCGAAGGCGAAGUGAAAGCAAGUAAGCGGCGGGCGAUCUACGGAAAUCCCGUCAGCUAGAGUGCGCCACGCCCUGGUGUGUGGUUGCGCUCCGGCUUUGGCAGAGUUGAUCCUGCAGCGGUACCGCAAACGUACGCUCAGGCGCAAACUCCAGGCUCACGUUUCGCACUGGUCUUCGGACUGUGCUGUGAGCACUGUGGAGCAUGCAUGCUAUGACCCGAAAGAUAGUGAACUAUGCCUGGCGAGGGCGAAGCCCCAGGAAACUGGGGUGGAGGCCCGUAGCCGUUGUGACGUGCAAA